rnacentral:sRNA from 1 species
AUAGUUGCAGAUAGAGAUAUGCUGUAUAUCCAUGAAACCGAAUUAACGUUUAAGCGACAUGUAAUGUCGUCGGACAUGGAGCCGCCGGAAGGCGGUUUUUUU